rnacentral:rRNA from 1 species
UACGUAGGGUGCAAGCGUUAAUCGGAAUUACUGGGCGUAAAGCGUGCGCAGGCGGUUUUGUAAGUCUGUCGUGAAAUCCCCGGGCUUAACCCUGGGAACUGCAUUUGUGACUGGCGGGCUAGAGUAUGGCAGAGGGGGGGGGUAGAAUUCCACGUGUAGCAGUGAAAUGCGUAGAGAUGUGGAGGAAUACCGAUGGCGAAGGCAGCCCCCUGGGCCAAUACUGACGGCUCAUGCACGAAAGCGUGGGGAGCAAACAGG